AGGUGUAGCAAAAUAGAAGAUGAAGGUCUAGCUGUGCCAGUCAGUGCUGAGCCACACAGUUGCUGCUGGCAUGUUUGCAAAAUAGCACAAGGUGCUGUAAAAUGAAGAUAUAUUGUUAAAUAUCAUGAGAUAGAAAUAAAAGAUGAAGAUCUAGCUGUACCCGUCCCGAGCCACACUACUGCAGCCACGUUGCUGCUGGCAUUUUUGCAAAAUAGCACAAGGUCACAACAAUUGAUGUAACAAAUAUAAUCAAUGGACCAGGCACCUGCACCAUGAUUCUUUGGAAUACUAAAAUUCGUCUCUUUAUGUCUGUACUUCUCAUAAUGAAAAAUGUCACAUUUUUAUGAAAGAAAUAAUGGAAUCAAAUAAUAAAUAAAACAAGCAUAUGCUGGAAGUCCUCAGAAACAGCUCCGACUUUGAUGAUUUUUUUUUAAGUCUAUUUAAAAAAAGAAAAUUUUAAUUAGUUUUUAUGUUAUUUAAAAUCAGAAAUGUUUUGGUGGACGAAAUUAUUUAAAUUGUUAAAAAAUAUCUAUGCUAUUUAUACAUAUUUUUUUUUAAAUACAACCGACUUCAAAAAUACAAACUUAUACAGAAAACUAAUAAACGAAAGAAAAUAUUAUAAUAUUUUCUAUCUAUUGAUCACUUUGAAGGCGGUGCCAAUGGUCCAAUUAAUGGGCCGACAAUUAGUUAUCUAAUGUUUUCCUAGCUAUAGGGUUCAAAUUGCUUUUUCAUAUCUUUAAAAGACUAUCUUCGGAAUGAACCCUUUAUAAUAAAAAAGUAUUAUCAAAAUCGGACCACUCAAUAAAAAGUUAUACUUGGUUGUAUACUAAAAUUAAUGGUUAAACAAUCAAUCAUCCCCUGUUUUUGUAAUGUAAAACCAAGCAUAACUGUUAACAUGAGUAGUCCGAUUUUGAUAAUUCUUUUGAUUGAUCAUUCUUGAUUGUUUUAGUUUAAAACCAAGCAUGUCUUGGAAUUCCGAUUUGAAUAACUUUGUUUUAAAUAGAAAGGGUAUAUUCCGACAAUGGUCCCAAAUCAUUAUAAAUUUUAAUUAUUCCCAUUAAUUGUAUUGUAAAAAUAUGCGUAACUUAUUACGAAGUGGUCCGAUUUCGUAAAUUCUUUAUAGAUUGUAAAGGUAUUUUGAUUGUAAAGCUCCCA